GACGAACCGUGCGAACGCUGUUCGGAAUCACUGGGCUUAAAGGGCGCGUAGGCGGCUUUCUAAGUCAGGGGUGAAAUCCUGGAGCUCAACUCCAGAACUGCCUUUGAUACUGGAGAGCUUGAGUCCGGAAGAGGUGAGUGGAACUCCGAGUGUAGAGGUGAAAUUCGUAGAUAUUCGGAAGAACACCAGUGGCGAAGGCGGCUCACUGGUCCGGUACUGACGCUGAGGUGCGAAAGCGUGGGGAGCAAACAGG
rnacentral:rRNA from 1 species